ACUCCUACGGGAGGCAGCAGUGGGGAAUAUUGCACAAUGGGCGCAAGCCUGAUGCAGCCAUGCCGCGUGUAUGAAGAAGGCCUUCGGGUUGUAAAGUACUUUCAGCAGUGAGGAAGGUGGGUAUGUUAAUAGCAUAUUCAUUUGACGUUAGCUGCAGAAGAAGCACCGGCUAACUCCGUGCCAGCAGCCGCGGUAAUACGGAGGGUGCGAGCGUUAAUCGGAAUUACUGGGCGUAAAGCGCAUGCAGGUGGUUUGUUAAGUCAGAUGUGAAAGCCCGGGGCUCAACCUCGGAAUUGCAUUUGAAACUGGCAAACUAGAGUACUGUAGAGGGGGGUAGAAUUUCAGGUGUAGCGGUGAAAUGCGUAGAGAUCUGAAGGAAUACCGGUGGCGAAGGCGGCCCCCUGGACAGAUACUGACACUCAGAUGCGAAAGCGUGGGGGAGCAAACAGGAUUAGAUACCCUGGUAGGCUCU
rnacentral:rRNA from 1 species